rnacentral:rRNA from 1 species
UGGCGUACGGGUGAGUAACACGUGGAUCAUCUGCCUCUUUGUGGGGAAUAACUCUGGGAAACCGGAGCUAAUACCGCAUAAGCCUGGAAAGGGAAAGCAGCAAUGCGCUGAGAGAGGAGUCCGCGGCCGAUUAGCUAGUUGGCAGGGUAAAAGCCUACCAAGGCAACGAUCGGUAGCCGGCCUGAGAGGGCACACGGCCACACUGGCACUGAAACACGGGCCAG